CCUUUUUUUCUUUCCUUUUUUGCCUUUUCUUUCCUUUAUUAUUUUUUCUUAAAUGGGAGCAAUCCAAAAAAAGAGGGAAGCAGAAGCAAAAUAAUCUGAUUAAUCAGAGGGGGCCUGCUGCAUUCCAGCACCCUGUUUUUCUUGGCCAAACUGGAGAAUUUUGGUGCAAGGCAGACAUCCACUCUGAAAACAUAUAUAUCUAUAUAGCUAUAUAUUCUGCAAAAAUGAAAAGGGCCACUUUUUCCAGGAAAAAAAAAUAUGCACACAGCACUAAAAACAAGCAGACUGCAUAGGGAAGCAAAUACAUAUAUAUAUAUUUAUCUAUAUAUAUAGGUAUAGCUAUAGAACAAAAAUAUGGAAAUAAAUGCCCGCACACCGAAAACUGACCCCGAGGAGAGAGGGGGGAGGGACAGACACCGGGGGGAGGGUGGGAGAAGGAGAGGUUGUUGGUCCCUAAAGUUCGAGCUCUGUAGAAGGACUUUGCAUGAAUUAAGGGAACCAGCGAGAGAAAGGGAAAUAAUUCAGGGCUGUCAAAGUCCUGCUCCUGACGGCUGCCAAUCACCAUGGAAGAGUCAUAAAAAAAAUCCACUGCUAAUAUUUUUUUUAUUAAUAUUUUUAUUUUUUAUUUCUGGACUGAUUCAGAUAAAGGGAUUUAGAAGGACUGAGCAUCUGCAGCUGCACUUAUCUGAACUUCUCCUCUCCUAAAUCCGUUGCCAACUUUGAUUGAAUGGGUGCUGUGGAUGUGAUUAUAUAAUACUGCCAUUUCCAAGCAGUGUUUUUGGUAGGUUUUAAUAAACAGACUUUUCAAAAAGACGGCAAUAUAGAAUUGUUAGAUCCGUUGUUGAUCUAAAAAAAAAAAAAAAAAAAUUUGUUUUAUAUUUUCAUUAAAUGACUUCUUUUAAUAUUUUAUUCAGAAUACCUAUGAACUGCUGCAAAACGGUAAUUUAUUUUUUCCCCAGAUCUUGUAUUACGUGUUUUUUUCAGACGAGCACAAAUCAAAAUGAAAUGAAAAUAUGGACAGUUGUUAGGUAAUAAGGGUAUCUUUUGAUGUGAUAAUUUGAUUGUAAUUUAAUUUGAGUAGUGAUUCCGUAAGAGCUGAUUGAGAAAAUAAAUUUGUUAGAAUGAAAGAGUCUGUGUCUGAUGCGUAAACCACUGUGUCGGAAAAAAAAAAAAAAAAAAAAAAAAAAAAAGUUUUCGGAAGGCAAAUGAUGCAAAAGCUGAAGUGAGGGGCUCCCCCAAGCCCAACCUGCUCUCCGCACACCGCUCGGGGGCCAUGGGGCUGCAGCCUGCCAGCAUCCCCGCCGGGUGCUCAGCACAAUCCUCGCUCUUUCUCAGUCAAAAUUAUUAAUAUCGUCCUCCACCCGCGCAGGGACCCCGUGGCAUGGGAAAGUGAGGCGAGAUUAGAGGUGGUAAAGGGCCACGUUUCUCCGAGAGGGGAUGGUAGCGUUUGGAUUUAGGAUCGCACUUCAGGGACAGGGCAUGCCCGGGUGUAUCUGCCGAUAAUCAAUGGCUGAUGCUGAAAGCAGGGAUGUUUCCAAAAGUUCACUUCUUGUUUUCUCUCUUCUCAAACUAAGGCUCGGGGAGGGGAGGGGAGCGAGCUAUCAAUUAUUUUGACGCAUUUCGUGUCUGUGCAAAGAUUGGGAUUUAAUUUAUCGAAGGAGAAGGUGCUUUUUUUAUUAUUUUUCCCCAGAAGGAUAUACAGAAUAAUGCUUCCAGCAUCCUCCGCACGGUUCACCGUUUCUGUUGCUGCUGCUGUUCUUGUUUGUGGUUGGUUUAGGCUUUUUCAAUGGGGUGUGAAGUGGUGUAGCAAGAGUUUUUUUGUUUUUCUCUCUGCGGUAGUGCUGCCGUACCUUCCUCGCGAGCAAGCGUGCGUGCUAGUGGCGUUGAAGCUGCCGCUGGAUGCGGUGGGUAAGCCUGUCAAAUUUAUCCGCUGAAUUUAUGGCAGCGUGCGGACAAGUGACUGACCGUUUCGGCUCGCUUCAUUCUGAGCCGGGGACGUGGUGGGAAGCAGAUAGCUGCUGCAUCUAACGCCUCAGCCCGCCCCCACUAACGCUGUACGGGAGAAUAAGAUAGGCCCGGUGUCAGUCCAUAAAUCACGGGCGAGCCGAGCGUGCUGGGAUGCGGUAUGCGAACGCCGCUCAAACAGCACCGCCGGUUCUACCCGUGAGCCCCGAAAGGCCCCGCUAACACGGAAGAAAAAAUAGUAAUGGUGAUAAAGGUGAUAAAAAAAAAAAAAAAAAAAAAAAAAAAAAACAAAGGGAAAAAAAAAAAAAAAAAAAAGGAAAGAAAAAAAAAAAGCCUGAAAGGGUAAAGGACGCUGCUUCUUUGUUCGCUGUAGCAGGAGCCCGGCCGGUGUCGCGCAUAUGGGAACCGGCCCCGGGGCCCCGGCGGCGGGCGCUCGGGACCCGCGGGGAGGAACCCGGUGCUGGCACCUUGUGGGGGGGACACAGAGGGCCGUGGGGCACGGGGAAGGGCUGGUGACAUUUCUCGGCGGGGUUCGGUGCCUGGGAUUUGGAUGGCAACAAAGAGCUAACAUCCAGGCUUGGCGCUGGUUGCCAUUAGAAGGCAACCUUUGCGGUUUUGCUGCGUACGAGGAGCUGGGAUUUAAAGGGUUUGGUAGCUUGCGGUUGUAGGGACUUGUAAAAUGUGCCCGGUUCCGUCUGCUCGUCAUGCACAAAAAAGUGAGGCCGCGCUCGUGUCCCCCCUCCGCUCCCCCCCAUCACCCCCCCGUCCUCCCCCCCCCCCCCCCCCCCCACCGCGAAACUGAAUCCUCUGAAUGUAUUUGGGAAUUUCAGGGUUGUGAGCCUGCGAGAUAACCAGGGGUAGAUAAUCACGGAGAGGUUUGGCGUUAAGGGUGAUAUUGUUACACGUGUAAAUAAUGAAAAUAUUGUUAUAGAUCGCCUGAUCUCCUAAUGAAUUUCGUAAUUGUGUUCAUUUAUAAUAUCAGUGUUCUGUGCUUGAUGACUGAGUCGGCAUCAUUUUCCUUCUUCUCCUUCCUUUUUUUUUUUUUUUUUUUUCUCUCUACCUAAAGGAAAGCCAAAUGCUUUUACAAACUUAUGUUUGCUCAGUCUGGGUAAUCCCGAGAUGUGAUUAUUUAUAGUUUACAUCCUCAUCUCCUGCGGUCCUCUGCUACGCCCUGGUCUUCUCACUCCCAUCCCAUCCUUCCCCCGUCUUGUCUGUGUACAAUAAAUCAUUUUCAGGUGUAUUUAAAUAGUCAUCUCACCGCUGCCGGGCCGCGUGUUUCCCGGGAUUCAGCCAAGAGCUCUGCCUUGGUUGAAAAACGCAGCGGUUCUUCUCGGAAGUGAUCUCUAAAGAAUCCUCCUGCUUUAAUGUAGUGACUCGUGUUUGCACAUUGCAAAGAUCCUCAACUCGUUUUGUACGGCCGGGUUUAAAUGGAACGCUUAGGGAAUAAUCGGUUCUGAUAAUUUUAUCAAUGAGUGUAACAUAUUAAAUAAUCUUAACAAUUCGAUUUUUUAAUUAUAUCUUUGUAAAAUAUUUAUCCUGUUGAAAGCAACAACAUAUUGUCGUAUUUAUUCGUUUAUUUUUGUAAUAAAUGAUCGACGCCUUCAAGCUGCUA